GACGAACGCUGGCGGCGUGCUUAACACAUGCAAGUCGAACGGUGAAGCGCCUUCCUUUUUGGUGGGUGUGGAUGAGUGGCGAACGGGUGAGUAACACGUGAGUAACCUGCCCCCUUCUUCUGGAUAACCGCAUGAAAGUGUGGCUAAUACGGGAUAUUCUGGGUCUGUCGCAUGAUGGGUCUGGGAAAGAUAUUGUUUCGGUGGGGGAUGGGCUCGCGGCCUAUCAGCUUGUUGGUGGGGUGAUGGCCUACCAAGGCGGUGACGGGUAGCCGGCCUGAGAGGGUGGACGGUCACACUGGGGCUGAGACACGGCCCAGACUCCUACGGGAGGCAGCAGUGGGGAAUAUUGCACAAUGGGCGCAAGCCUGAUGCAGCGACGCCGCGUGAGGGAUGGAGGCCUGCGGGUUGUGAACCUCUUUCGCCAGUGAAGCAGGCCUGCCUCGUUUGUGGGUGGGUUGACGGUAGCUGGAUAAGAAGCGCCGGCUAACUACGUG
rnacentral:rRNA from 1 species